UCACGUCUGUAGUUCCCUGAAGCUCUGGAGCAUUUAAGUCUUUUAGAUGAUUAUUUUUCAAGUCUUACAAGUUUUCUGUUUUGGUUCACUCUCACUUCUCUGCUCAGCCUUGUUUUCAGUUGCCAGCAGCUGUUUAUCUCUGAUAAGCCCACUACAUGCCACGAUACCAGCAUCUCACAAACAAAGUCAGCAGCUAGCUGUUGAGCACAGCGCAGCGUUUAGCAGAAUAAGAUAUUCCCCUGAGCAGUUGGAAAGGACUAAAAGAGAACGAAAAGGAGAGCCAGAUCCCGGCUGGCGUUUCCUCAGCGGUGUCGUUUAGAAGCAGGAAAGAUGGAGGCAUUCUUCCUCCCAGGGCCUCCUGUUCUUUCUUUUCCUGUCCUCUUUCCACUCUUGCUCUAAAUCACCGCGGCAGGACCUGCAGGGGGCAGAGGGGAACAUAAAAUAUGCAGCUCUGACAUGCAUGAAAGACUGUGAUGGUGCUGCUCAGUGCAGGAGCUGAGGCAAGACAGAUACAGAUGAAUAAAUGGAUGAGGGUAGGAUGGAUGGAUACCCUGAACUAAUGUCCCCCCCCCCGGAGCCGGACAUGUGUAGGGGGAAACGGGGAAAUGUUCUCCACGGAGCACGAGAAAAACGCUGGAAGUAAUUGGCAAAUGCUGUUGGGCCCAGGUCUGGUUUGAAUCACCUUCAAAAACACACCACUACUUCAUCCUGGAGCUUCGCGGAGCCUUAUCAUAACUCGCCGCUUUUGUUUUUAAAGGCCCAUAUUUGCAUUUUCACUUGCUGCCUCCUUUCACCAGGCAGUAAAAGGUCCCAGGACAGAUUGGGCGAUCAGUUAGGACAGGAGCAACACUUUCAGACAGCCCAUCGUGUGUGAGUGUGAGUCUGAGUGCAAAGAAUGACGCUUCACAUUAACGCUAAGACACCUGGUAUAUUGUGAAAGAGAUAUAAGCGCACAGAUAUGAAACACCACUGACAGUUUUAUAUUGCUUCAGUCGAACAUAAAAGCGACUGCAGCACAGAUGAUUUGAACAAGGUGAAGAUCAAUUGGAAGAGUUACUAACAUAAACUGCCAAUAGAUAUAAUAUCAGAUACAAGGUCAAACUAUUAUUGUGAUGUAUAUACUGUAUUACAAUAGUCUUUUAUAGACUAUCAUGUCUUUUUCAAUGGGUUAGUAACUUUAGCUCUGCUGGUAAUGGUGCACCACGUUGGUCCACCUGAAACGCCUCAGCAACUGUUGAGGGAUGCGCCACAUGGUCCUCAGAGGAUGGAUCCUGGAGACUUCAGUAAUCUUUUGACUUUCAUCAAACUCCACUAUUUGGUUUUUUACUUUUUUUACUUUUGCGUGAAAUAUCUCAACAAAAACUGGAUGGAUUCAUGAAAUCUGAUACAGAUACUAAAGGUCUCCAGAUGAUGUAUUGUACUGACAUCGGUGAUUCCCUGACUUAGAUCUAAAGCCACUGAAAGGUCUAAAUCUAAAUGGGUUUAAUACUUUAGCUUAUGACCAAAUACCUGCAAAACUAAUGAUAUUUCCAUCGGCAAAAAGAUGCUAAACUAAAGUUGGAUUUGCACUUGAAGCCACUGUGAGUCCUGCUGUGGAUACAUUUGGCGUAGGUUUUGAUUUAUAGUUGAGUAUCAGAUUUCACUCCUUGAUAAGACCACCGCUAACUGUAUUGUACAUAAUCAGGCCAUGCCAUGCUUUAAUUAUAUUCCCCACUGUAACUGUCUUUAUAUUGUUUCAUUCAAUUUGUAAUAUAGAGCUGUGACGUGUUUAUAGGACUGGGGUUAUAUGCAGGUAACAUUAUUUCUGUCUUUAUGCUAUUUCUUUCAUCAUGAUAAGAGAGUGAUGAUUGUGUUCAGCUGCAGGUUUAUGUCUCUGUUAGACCUGCAUUACUGGAAAGGAGACCCCCACUGAGUCACCCUUAAACUUCCCUAAAGUUGUCUUUAUUAACAAUCCCCACCUACACCUGCAAGCAGCCCAAACUGACCAAUCACAGGUCCGGUGGUCACCACAUUGGUUUUUUCCAUAGGUACAUUUUUGAGAAGCAACUCCAUAGCUAUGGCACAACCCAUAAAUGUGCAACUAUAAAUUCACCUUAAGAUAUGAACAAUAAAUAUUACAUAAAACAUCAGCAGGUUCACAUUGUCAUUGAGUAUUAGCACUCAGAUUUUAGCAUUUACUCCACAGCACCCUUAUAUUGUAUAACGUGCCUGUCGUCUUGUUUGUCAUUCACUUGCAUUACAGUCACAGUUACAGUUAUUACAUUGAUCUCUGUGAUCUCACUAUGUGUAAAGAUUAGCUCCACCCCCCAUCCACCACCAUUGCUCUAUCAAAACCGCUCUGAAGAAGGAAGUCAACAGUGCCAUCUCGUGCAGUUAGAGAAAAGUAGAAAUUAGCAAUCAUAUUGCUUCACAGCGCUUAUACAGGGCAAACUGAGUGUCUGGCUCACAAAGACCAGUAUCCUGGUCACCUUUCAGAGACUUAGAUGUAUGCCUAUAGCACACACCUGACUGAGCAUUAAGUAUUUUUUUAAAGUAUUCAUUUAGGGAAUAAUAAUGAAUGAAAAGUAUAGAAAACUUUUUCGACCACAGUGUGAUUGUUUGGAUAUAAAACAGAUGAACUAAGUCGUGAAGAAGCUGUUACAUACAUGUCAGGAAGUCCCCUUAAGGAGAUUUACAGUGUUAGACAGAGAAAUAAAUUUUGUUUUAUCGUACAUUAUCUACAGAUGAAAUCAUCAUGAUUUGAUUUUUAACAACUAUAUUCUCACCAGCUAACGUUCUGUUAGAAACCAUCCUGGUCAUCCAGUCUGGCCUGAGGUGUAUACCGUGUCUGAUGGCUCCAUAUUUAAUUAAAUGGUGAAGUUCGAAAUGCACCAAAUGAGAAGAAGUUAAACUGUUCAUAAAGAUUUUUUGGGCCUUUGUUUGGCAGUAUAGAGAAAGAAAGGAAACGUGGGGAGAGGCAGUGGGUGAGCACGGUAUGAUCCGCCAGAAAAGGUUGACAGCCAGAAUCAAAGCGGGGGUGCUGUAGUUUUGUGGUAUGUGCUUUAAACAUUAGGCAAAGACCAGAAAAGAACCUUUUAAAAAUGUCUCCAGUAGUUUGUGGUUGAUGGACCUUGAACUACAUGUGGCACAUGGUAGCUAACGACAACGCCUCCGUUCUUAGACCCUGAAAAAGUGAGUUAUUGGAGAUUCAAGGUUUUCACCUGACAGGCGACCAUAACUUUCAAGUGACCAUUGCCCCCCAAAAAAGAAAUAGGACUGUUUUUCAAACUGUCACCAUGGCGGCUCAGAGGAAGUGUGGAGUGAUUAUACUGCACUACAGGGAGUGAGCUUCAAGCUCUGGGGUUUUUUACUGGGGAGGACAUAGUGUGAAAUGUGUUGGCUGUGUGCAUGUGUGUGUGUGUGUGAGACAUGUGUAUAAAAGUGUGUGUUACAUUGUCUGUCAUUGUUACUUCAGGUCUCGGUAAGCUAUGCUUUGUUGGUGCUAUUACAACUGUUUGUUUUUUUUUGUUUUUGUGUGUGUGUGUGUGUCUGUGCGUGCGUGCGUGCGUGCGUGUUUGUGUGGCAAAUUAACUUCUGUCUCGUUCCAUUUAGUCUUGGGCCUAAACAUUCAUGACAGCCCCUCACUGUUGCUGCUGACCUCCACAGCCAGCAGCCUUCAGCUUGUGAUCCCCGACCAGCAGGAGUCCUCUUCUCAGCACAGCAGGGAGAAGCAGCUACUGAAGCCGCAGUCACACACUUAUAAUGACCAAACUGGGCUCGAAGGCCUGAAAUGAAGAGGUUCUGUUGCUCUGUUACUCGUAGUUUUAAAGUUAAAUUUGAACCUGCGCUGUCUCACAGUGUGAUCUGCUGUAUAUGUGCCCAGACCAACAGAAGCCAUCAUGGGACAUUUCAGCAUGGAAAAUAAUGCAGAUGACUGUCUUCACUGAUGAGAAUUACUGGAGGAAUUACUUCUUCCCUUUGUUUUCUAAGUAUGGUAUCGCUAAUAAUCGUUUCACGACAGAGUUUCAGUUUGCAAAACUCUCCUUACCUUAAAACACAAAAUGCUGUCCUAGCAUAUAUAGAGCACUACAUCACAAUCUUCACAAUGCAGCCACCUUGCUUAUUUGUAGCUCUACACCGCACUGAAUCAAUUUAACACAUUUGCAAGCAUUUAGUUUAUUUACUGUAACAUUAUCCAGCUGUGCAACAUCGCAACACAAUCGCAUUGUAAUUCCAAGAAACAAAGGGGGCAAAUAUUUCUUUUGUCUUCCCUCUGAUUAGAAACGUUGCUACAUAUGGAGUGUCUGUUACUGUGUUCAGUGUUUUUCAUCAUUGCAGUGUGACUGUAUUUUAGAUCACUAGUCCUGUCACAAUAUGGCUGUAUAGUUUUGUUCAAAUCCAAACUUGCAUAAAAAACGA